rnacentral:misc_RNA from 1 species
GAAAUGCGAUAAGUAAUGUGAAUUGCAGAAUUCAGUGAAUCAUCGAAUCUUUGAACGCACAUUGCGCCCGCCAGUAUUCUGGCGGGCAUGCCUGUCCGAGCGUCAUUUCAGCCAUCAAGCCCCCGGGCUUGUGUUGGGGACCUGCGGCUGCCCGCAGGCCCUGAAAACCAGUGGCGGGCUCGCUGUCACACCGAGCGUAGUAGCAAUCACCUCGCUCAGGGCGUGCUGCGGGUUCCGGCCGUUAAACAGCCUUACAAAACCCAAGGUUGACCUCGGAUCAGGUAGGAAGAUCCGCUGAACUUAAGC